UACGUCAUCACUUUCAAGAAUGUCACUUACAC
rnacentral:piRNA from 1 species